AUUGAACGCUGGCGGCAGGCCUAACACAUGCAAGUCGAACGGUAACAGGAAACAGCUUGCUGUUUCGCUGACGAGUGGCGGACGGGUGAGUAACGUCUGGGAAACUGCCUGAUGGAGGGGGAUAACUACUGGAAACGGUAGCUAAUACCGCACAACGUCGCAAGACCAAAGAGGGGGACCUUCGGGCCUCUUGCCAUCGGAUGUGCCCAGAUGGGAUUAGCUAGUAGGUGGGGUAACGGCUCACCUAGGCGACGAUCCCUAGCUGGUCUGAGAGGAUGACCAGCCACACUGGAACUGAGACACGGUCCAGACUCCUACGGGAGGCAGCAGUGGGGAAUAUUGCACAAUGGGCGCAAGCCUGAUGCAGCCAUGCCGCGUGUAUGAAGAAGGCCUUCGGGUUGUAAAGUACUUUCAGCGGGGAGGAAGGGAGUAAAGUUAAUACCUUUACUCAUUGACGUUACCCGCAGAAGAAGCACCGGCUAACUCCGUG
rnacentral:rRNA from 1 species